GAAUUGCAGAAUUCAGUGAAUCAUCGAAUCUUUGAACGCACCUUGCACCCCUUGGUAUUCCGAGGGGUACGCCUGUUUGAGUGUCGUGAAAUCCUCAACUCUCCUCCU
rnacentral:rRNA from 1 species